UACAGAGGUCUCAAGCGUUGUUCGGAUUCAUUGGGCGUAAAGGGUGCGUAGGCGGCGCGGUAAGUCGGGUGUGAAAUCUUGGAGCUUAACUCCGAAACUGCAUUCGAUACUGCCGUGCUUGAAGACUGGAGAGGAGACUGGAAUUUACGGUGUAGCGGUGAAAUGCGUAGAUAUCGUAAGGAAGACCAGUGGCGAAGGCGGGUCUCUGGACAGUUCCUGACGCUGAGGCACGAAGGUCAGGGGAGCAAACGGGG
rnacentral:rRNA from 1 species